rnacentral:rRNA from 1 species
UACGUAGGGUGCAAGCGUUGUCCGGAAUUAUUGGGCGUAAAGAGCUCGUAGGCGGUUUUUUACGUCGGCUGUGAAAACCUGGGGCUCAACCCCGGGCCUGCAGCCGAUACGGGCAAACUAGAAUUCGGUAGGGGAGACUGGAAUUCCUGGUGUAGCGGUGAAAUGCGCAGAUAUCAGGAGGAACACCGGUGGCGAAGGCGGGUCUCUGGGCCGAUAUUGACGCUGAGGAGCGAAAGCGUGGGGAGCGAACAGG